CAUGCAAGUCGAACGGUGAAGCCCUUCGGGGUGGAUCAGUGGCGAACGGGUGAGUAACACGUGGGAAAUCUGCCCUGCACUCUGGGACAAGCCCGGGAAACUGGGUCUAAUACCGGAUAUGACCUUCCUCUGCAUGGGGGUUGGUGGAAAGCUCCGGCGGUGCAGGAUGAUCCCGCGGCCUAUCAGCUUGUUGGUGGGGUAAUGGCCUACCAAGGCGACGACGGGUAGCCGGCCUGAGAGGGCGACCGGCCACACUGGGACUGAGACACGGCCCAGACUCCUACGGGAGGCAGCAGUGGGGAAUAUUGCACAAUGGGCGAAAGCCUGAUGCAGCGACGCCGCGUGAGGGAUGACGGCCUUCGGGUUGUAAACCUCUUUCAGCAGGGAAGAAGCGCAAGUGACGGUACCUGCAGAAGAAGCACCGGCUAACUACGUGCCAGCAGCCGCGGUAAUACGUAGGGUGCGAGCGUUGUCCGGAAUUAUUGGGCGUAAAGAGCUCGUAGGCGGCUUGUCACGUCGGGUGUGAAAGCCCGGGGCUUAACCCCGGGUCUGCAUUCGAUACGGGCAGGCUUGAGUGUGGUAGGGGAGAUCGGAAUUCCUGGUGUAGCGGUGAAAUGCGCAGAUAUCAGGAGGAACACCGGUGGCGAAGGCGGAUCUCUGGGCCAUUACUGACGCUGAGGAGCGAAAGCGUGGGGAGCGAACAGGAUUAGAUACCCUGGUAGUCCACGCCGUAAACGUUGGGAACUAGGUGUUGG
rnacentral:rRNA from 1 species